rnacentral:rRNA from 1 species
UACGAAGGGGGCUAGCGUUGCUCGGAAUGACUGGGCGUAAAGGGCGCGUAGGCGGCCCGGUCAGUUCGUGGUGAAAGCGCGGGGCUCAACCCUGCGUCGGCCAUGAAUACUGCCGCGGCUGGAGCACUGUAGAGGCAGGCGGAAUUCCGGGUGUAGCGGUGGAAUGCGUAGAGAUCCGGAAGAACACCGGUGGCGAAGGCGGCCUGCUGGGCAGUGCUGACACUGAGGCGCGACAGCGUGGGGAGCAAACAGGG